CCUACGGGUGACAGCAGUGAGGAAUAUUGGUCAAUGGACGAGAGUCUGAACCAGCCAAGUAGCGUGAAGGAUGACUGCCCUAUGGGUUGUAAACUUCUUUUAUAUGGGAAUAAAAUGUUCCACGUGUGGGAUUUUGUAUGUACCAUAUGAAUAAGGAUCGGCUAACUCCGUGCCAGCAGCCGCGGUAAUACGGAGGAUCCGAGCGUUAUCCGGAUUUAUUGGGUUUAAAGGGAGCGUAGGUGGAUUGUUAAGUCAGUUGUGAAAGUUUGCGGCUCAACCGUAAAAUUGAAGUUGAAACUGGCAGUCUUGAGUACAGUAGAGGUGGGCGGAAUUCGUGGUGUAGCGGUGAAAUGCUUAGAUAUCACGAAGAACUCCGAUUGCGAAGGCAGUUCACUGGACUGCAACUGACACUGAGGCUCGAAAGUGUGGGUAUCAAACAGGAUUAGAUACCCGGGUAGUC
rnacentral:rRNA from 1 species